CUUCUCUUACUGAAAACAGCCAGGUCUGAGCAUCCAAAGACCUCUGGUCUGCCUAAUGCAUGAUCCCCGUAGUUCUGAGC
ensembl:snoRNA